CAGCCGCCACGGGAACACGGAGGGAGCUAGCGUUGUUCGGAAUUACUGGGCGUAAAGCGCGCGUAGGCGGUUACUCAAGUCAGAGGUGAAAGCCCGGGGCUCAACCCCGGAACUGCCUUUGAAACUAGGUGACUAGAAUCUUGGAGAGGUCAGUGGAAUUCCGAGUGUAGAGGUGAAAUUCGUAGAUAUUCGGAAGAACACCAGUGGCGAAGGCGACUGACUGGACAAGUAUUGACGCUGAGGUGCGAAAGCGUGGGGAGCAAACAGGAUUAGAUACCCCUGUAGUCCCUGUCUCUAUACA
rnacentral:rRNA from 1 species